UGAGGGGUCCCUUGCAUUCCAGGAGCACGGUGUGCUUAUUGUUUUGGUGUUUCAAAUUAAAUCUGAUAGUACAUCCUGCAAUAACAACUUUUUAGUCAUGCUGCACAAUUUUCAAUGGAUCAGUAUUGAUUGAACCAUAUUUAACUAGGCAAGUGAGUUAAGAACAAAUUCUUAUUUACAAUGACGGCCUACCCCGGAACGGUGGGUUAAUUGCCUUGUUCAUGGGCAGAACAACAUAUUUUUACCUUGUCACCUCGAGGAUUUGAUCCAGUAACCUUUUGGUUAGUGGCCCAACGCUGUAACCACUAGGCUACCUGCCACUACAAGUAUUUACAGUCCAAAUAUAUAGAAACAUUUAUUUGGGAUUCUUUGGCGUCACAUUUUGGUUUCCACUUUGUCUUUUACCCAUGGCUGUGCCACAGUUGUGUGGUUGCACCCUGACAGUGGCAAGUGGCAAGCAGGUCAUCCUGAUUGGUAUAAUUGGUAAGUGUGUGUUUUUUAAGGACUACUUCUAUUCACAUUUAUAAAGAAUGUAAUUAAUUACUUCUAAUAAUUACUCCUGAUUCAGGGUGCUACAACCUGUCCCUUCCUGCUCUGAACUGCUCCGGGUGGCACACCCUGAUCUGUUUCACCUGUCUUUGUGUUUGUUGCCACCCCCCUCCAGGUUUCACCCAUCUUCCCCAUUAUCCCCAGUGUAUUUAUAUCUGUAUUCUCUGUUUGUUUGUUGCCAGUUCGCCUGUCUUUUUCUAGUUCCUGUUUCCCGGUUUUGACCAUUCUGCCUUCCCUGAGCCUGCCUGCCGUUCUGUACCUUGUCACACCAGCCUGGAUUUUUGACCUCUCCCUGCGCUGACCCUGAGACUGCCAGCUGUUCUGUACCGUAUGGACUCUGAUCUGAAUUACUGACCUCUGCCUGCCCUUAACCUGUCGUGUCGCCUGCCCCCUGUUCUAGUAAACUUGUGUUACUUUGACACUCUUUGCAUCUGGGUAUUCUCCUGAAACAUGUUACCCGGGUGUCUGAGACAAUGGACAGUGGGGCUGGAUGAAUUUUGUAAAGAGUGGCUACCGGCCAGGCUCCGUGACUCACCAGACCAUCUUCACAGUGGACCACUUCAAGUCUUUUGAAGACAUGAAGGUGUUGGCCCCAGGAUGCUCCUGUCAAGCCUUUGUGGGAAUGCUUGACGGAAGAACAAAGCACUUUGACAGGUGUAAAGAUAUGUGGCGACACGUUCCAGAAAGCAUUCCUCGAGUGGACAUAUGGAGGUUUGAAAUAGACAAGCUUUGUGGAAGCGAUCUCCUACAUUGUCCUGAUGCAUGCUAUAUCAGUGGAUGGGAAUCGCAAGCAAUACUGCUUUCGGAAAGCCUCAGGACACACAGAGGUUGGAGCAACAUGGUCAGAUGUUUGGGAUUUAAACCAGCAACCCACCUCUCUAGGCUAUGUGAAUGUUGAGAAGGGCUUCUAUGAUGUCUUCCUGGAGAAACAAGAUGAUGUGUCAUCCUUCAUCAAACAUGUCCAUACAAAGACCAAUCAUUCUCAGUUUCUAUAACACUGCUUAAUGUCACCCAGUUUAGAGCUUGUUUCUUUUAAAGUUGAUAUCUGCACUUCACUGUGAUUUUAAUGUUGUAGACGCCAGGCAAAGGAGUGUGUGGUACAUCAGAGUGGACAGCGGCCAAAGACGUCAGGAAAAUUGUUUGCCAAAGUAGAGGAGGGCCUUGAUAGCAGUUUG